rnacentral:rRNA from 1 species
GACGAACGCUGGCGGCGUGCUUAACACAUGCAAGUCGAACGGUAAGGCCCUGCUUUUGUGCGGUGCUCGAGUGGCGAAAGGGUGAGUAACACGUGAGUAACCUGUCCUUGACUUUGGGAUAACUUCAGGAAACUGGGGCUAAUACCGGACAUGACCUCCUGUUGCAUGUUGGGGGUUGGAAAGUUUCGGCGGUUGGGGACGGACACGCGGCUCAUCAGCUUGUUGGUGGGGUAGUGGAUUACCAAGGCUUUGACGGGUAGCCGGCCUGAGAGGGUGACCGGCCACAGAGGGACUGAGGUACGGCCAGGACUCCUACGGGGGGCAGCAGUGGGGAAUAGUGCGCGAUGGGCGGAGGGCGUGUGCAGCAACGCCGCGUGGGGGAUGACGGCCUUCGGGUUGUAAACCGCUUUCGCCUGUGACGAAGAGUGAGUGACGGUAAUGGGUAAAGAAGCACCGGCUAACUACGUG